rnacentral:rRNA from 1 species
UGAAGAAGGCCUUCGGGUUGUAAAGUACUUUCAGCGGGGAGGAAGGUGUUGUGGUUAAUAACCGCAGCAAUUGACGUUACCCGCAGAAAAAGCACCGGCUAACUCCGUGCCAGCAGCCGCGGUAAUACGGAGGGUGCAAGCGUUAAUCGGAAUUACUGGGCGUAAAGCGCACGCAGGCGGUCUGUCAAGUCGGAUGUGAAAUCCCCGGGCUCAACCUGGGAACUGCAUUCGAAACUGGCAGGCUGGAGUCUUGUAGAGGGGGGUAGAAUUCCAGGUGUAGCGGUGAAAUGCGUAAAGAUCUGGAGGAAUACCGGUGGCGAAGGCGGCCCCCUGGACAAAGACUGACGCUCAGGUGCGAAAGCGUGGGGAGCAAACAGGAUUAAAUACCCUGGUAGUCCACGCCGUAAACGAUGUCGAUUUGGAGGUUGUGCCCUUGAGGCGUGGCUUCCGGAGCUAACGCGUUAAAUCGACCGCCUGGGGAGUACGGCCGCAAGGUUAAAACUCAAAUGAAUUGACGGGGGCCCGCACAAGCGGUGGAGCAUGUGGUUUAAUUCGAUGCAACGCGAAGAACCUUACCUGGUCUUGACAUCCACAGAACUUUCCAGAGAUGGAUUGGUGCCUUCGGGAACUGUGAGACAGGUGCUGCAUGGCUGUCGUCAGCUCGUGUUGUGAAAUGUUGGGUUAAGUCCCGCAACGAGCGCAACCCUUAUCCUUUGUUGCCAGCGGUUAGGCCGGGAACUCAAAGGAGACUGCCAGUGAUAAACUGGAGGAAGGGUGGGGGAUGACGUCAAGUCAUCAUGGCCCCUUUACGACCAGGGGCUACACACGUGCUA